rnacentral:rRNA from 1 species
UACGAAGGGGGCUAGCGUUGUUCGGAAUUACUGGGCGUAAAGCGAACGUAGGCGGUGUUCCAUGUCAGAGGUGAAAGCCUGGGGCUCAACUCCAGAAUUGCCUUUGAAACGGGAACGCUUGAGUCCGAGAGAGGGUGGCGGAAUUCCUAGUGUAGAGGUGAAAUUCGUAGAUAUUAGGAAGAACACCAGCGGCGAAGGCGGCCACAUGGCUCGGUACUGACGCUCAGGUUCGAAAGCGUGGGGAGCAAACAGG